CCUACGGGGGGCAGCAGUGAGGAAUAUUGGUCAAUGGACGAGAGUCUGAACCAGCCAAGUAGCGUGAAGGAUGACUGCCCUAUGGGUUGUAAACUUCUUUUAUAUGGGAAUAAAAUGUUCCACGUGUGGGAUUUUGUAUGUACCAUAUGAAUAAGGAUCGGCUAACUCCGUGCCAGCAGCCGCGGUAAUACGGAGGAUCCGAGCGUUAUCCGGAUUUAUUGGGUUUAAAGGGAGCGUAGGUGGAUUGUUAAGUCAGUUGUGAAAGUUUGCGGCUCAACCGUAAAAUUGCAGUUGAAACUGGCAGUCUUGAGUACAGUAGAGGGGGGCGGAAUUCGUGGUGUAGCGGUGAAAUGCUUAGAUAUCACGAAGAACUCCGAUUGUGAAGGCAGUUCACUGGACUGCAACUGACACUGAGGCUCGAAAGUGUGGGUAUCAAACAGGAUUAGAUACCCGUGUAGUC
rnacentral:rRNA from 1 species